UGGGGAAUAUUGGACAAUGGGCGAAAGCCUGAUCCAGCCAUGCCGCGUGAGUGAUGAAGGCCUUAGGGUUGUAAAACUCUUUCGCCGGGGAAGAUAAUGACGGUACCCGGAGAAGAAGCUCCGGCUAACUUCGUGCCAGCAGCCGCGGUAAUACGAAGGGAGCUAGCGUUGUUCGGAAUUACUGGGCGUAAAGCGCACGUAGGCGGGCUAUUAAGUCAGGGGUGAAAUCCCGAGGCUCAACCUCGGAACUGCCUUUGAUACUGAUAGUCUUGAGAUCGGGAGAGGUCAGUGGAAUUCCGAGUGUAGAGGUGAAAUUCGUAGAUAUUCGGAAGAACACCAGUGGCGAAGGCGACUGACUGGACAAGUAUUGACGCUGAGGUACGAAAGCGUGGGGAGCAAACAGGAUUAGAUACCCAUGUAGUCCCUGAGCGGGCUGGCAAGGCGCAU
rnacentral:rRNA from 1 species